CACUAAGAAGCUUCCAUACAAGCACUAGCCUUUUAAGCUAGCGAGGGGCACAAGCCCCUUAGUGAU
rnacentral:tRNA from 1 species